rnacentral:pre_miRNA from 1 species
UAUGUACUCCCUCCGUCUGGAAAUACUUGUCAUUGAAAUGGAUGUAUCUAGAUGUAUUUUAGUUCUAGAUACAUCCAUUUUCAUCCAUUUUGAUGACAAGUAAUUUUGGACGGAGGGAGUACAUC